rnacentral:tRNA from 1 species
GCCGAAGUGGCGGAAUUGGCAGACGCGCUAGCUUCAGGUGCUAGUGUUCGCAAGGACGUGGGGGUUCGAAUCCCCCCUUCGGCA